AAUACGUUUGUACGAACGUCUCUCGACAUUAUUUAUAUCUAUUAAUUUAUUUAAUUAUUUUAAAUAUAUUUGAGAGGUUGCAACAGCAAGUUCUCGUUAUCCUAUAUUAUAAUCCUCUACAAGUCCUCUACAGGAUUAAAGAUAUUUUUCCACGAUCCAAAUCAUUCAGAUCGAAACGUCUUAAAGUUACAGAAAGCAACGACAAACAUAUACCUUGAUCGAACAACUUGCGAUAUUUUUCUGUUAACAAGCUUUGAAUUUUACUUUGAAAUAUUUGUAUCACUCAUUUAUAUCAUUGAUUUUUCUCUAACGAUUUUAUUUCGUCCCUUAACAUUUCCUACCUUUCAUUAAUAAUUUACUGGAGCGCUGUUACAUUGCCGAAUAAAAUACUGUUUGUUACGUCACGAGGCUUACCACUGGCUGUAUUUUCUAACCGUCGCUCGCGGUCCUACAGCGUUGCAGGCAGACCGUCUUAUCUGCCCGCCGGAUCAUAUACAAUGUAUCGACGAGAGCAUAGUUGUCGCCAAGCAGCGAGCUCUAGAAACUUCGAUUUUUGACCGUUACGUUUUUCACACAAGAAGAGGCAUACGUGAUCAUAGACGCGAGCGGUGGCGUGACCCGAGCAUAGUGGGGGUCGUCUUCCAAAUGAGACAAAGGAAUAAUCGAAGGGCGUUCAGUUCCUUCUGACGAGUCUAACGUGACACUUCGACAAAUCUGACGAGCAAACGAAUUUAUCUAGAGAUAUCGCAAAGUCGAGUCAAAUUUCUGUAACAGAUUCAUCAUAUUAUUGUAAAAUAUAUUAUUCUAUGUUAACCUGUUAAUACAGUGUUACAUUCAUUAAACCACCUCUGUUAUCUUAACCGAAACAGGGGAACGACUAUUUCGCGGCGUCGAUUAACAUAAUCGUAGCGAGAAUUUACGCCUCUCGCUGAUGCGUUUUCCUAGCGACCGCGUCUCUCCGCGAACGGUCGUAACACUGUUAUAAGUAAAUAACAAAUAGUAAUAAUUCUAUAUGAAAUAAUACCAAUAGUAAUAACAAGAUAAAUAAACCAACAUUGGACUGUUAGCAGAAUAAAUUCAGCGUCAAAUCAAAUCUUGCAAUUCGGAGAAAUUGUUCUUAUUCGGACCGACAAUAUUCGAGAUCCAAAUAUUUGAUAUUUCAACUGCAACCAAAAGUCAAUGCAAAUGGCUGUAAGGUUAACGCAUGCAAAUUAAUUCUACAAUCAUGAACAUUCGAUGCAUCCUAAUUUCCUUCCACCUUACUUCGAUAACAAUCGUCUUCGCUUUGGUCCAUCUUCAAAAUACAUAGUCUUCGGUAUACCAGAUAUCAAUCUGGUUUCUUCGUACUUUCUUUCGAUUCGCUGUUACUUUUCUCUUUUUUCGAACGUGCGCGUAUCAGAUUCGUUAAAAUUUCCGAUCCUAGGUCAAUGAUUUUUCAUUUAUCGCAUACCCUUUCUAUAUACCGUUUUCUAGUAUCCACUCGCAGCGAACUGUGUUUGCUGCGUUACGGUAUAGUGAUUUAUUUACGGUGCAUCGAUAAUGCUGGAAAAAGGAACAUCAGGCGAAUAUAUAAGAGCGAGUAUGCGUCUCGCUUCGCUUCGAUGGCUUUCGUAUUUUUCCUCUGUUAUUACGGACCACUUCACUCUAAUCGAAGCCUUAUUUCGUAGCGAACAAUACGCGGAAUAUAAAACUGCGGGUGCAGAACACGAUGCAUGUGUUGAGAAAAAUAUUAGGUUGGUAUGAUCACUAGUUCCUACAUGCAAAGUUGGUACGACUUCUAACGACUCUCUUUUGUUUUGGCGUCCGCCAUGUGUUAAUUAUCUGAGUGUAUCCGGUGUGUUCAUAUGGCUGGUGAUGAAAUACAGAAUAUAAAAACUGAAUCUGUGCGAAUCAAUAAAAUAUCGAACUCCAAAACCUAUUUAAUAACAGCAUGGAAUGGAUAUUGUACAGAUCGUUUCAAAGAGUAGAUAUGGCUAUAGUUUAUAGACGAAUAUGAAUAUGCUAUGUACGUAUUUAUGCGUCAGGUUGCCUUGUAAAUUGAUGUAGAUUCUGCUGCUCUUGUUAAAAGUACACGAAUCGUAAGGAAUGUUCUAUGCAGGUAGAAUUUAGAAGAAUUUCAUUUGCUAUCCGCGUGACAAGAAAUUGUACGAAAAUCUAAUGGCUGGUAAGAUUUGGAUUUAUCGUAACAAGAAGCGUGAACAAAUUGAGAGUUUUGUUAUUGUUAAAGAUAUGCUCGCCAGGGACUGACACGUGUGUCCAAGAAUGAAUUUUUUUAUUUAAUUUAAUCUACAGCAGAUAUCGUAAGAUGUACGUAAGAGAUGUAGCACAUGCAGAUGGACGGCUUGGUGUGUGAUUACCGACAAUCAUUUCGCCGACAAAAUUUACAUCGACACCAGUUUGACUGACACCAGUUUCACCCACAUUGUUUAUUCGCCGACAUGUACAAAUCACCGACAAUGUUUUCGUCGCGUUCGUUUCACCGGCACAGAAUUUUAAUUUAUAUACAGGGUGUUCACUGUUCACGUUGUUAGAUCGUUUUUCUCGUAAACGAUAAGAGGAAUGAAUGAAUGGUUCAAAACGAACAACAUAUUCACAGUAUUUUUUUCGCAAGCGUAAAGAUCUGUGUACGUUUUGCAUACGUCGAAUCCUCUCGUCAUUUUAUGAAAAAACCUACAGUGUUGCGGAUAUUUGUAGACUGAAACACAUUUUCUGCGUUGUUGCUACAAGACUGAUAGAAGAAAUAAGAGACAAAGUGGAAACUUACAAGAAAAUUAACACUGAGUUUACACUUUUUCACAGUCAAAGAUUCAGUCUCGCUAUCGUGAAAAAUCUAAAAAUGGACUUGAGUUUAUAAUUAUUCACGACACUGUAUGUAUUAGAGAAAUAUUGACUGCGAUCGAUUAGUUUGGAAGAUGUUUUCACUCCAAUUUUGUCGCAUACCAUAUGAAAAAGAAGGAAAGACGAAGUACUUUUGUAUUUAUGUUUCCUUUGUCUUACAUACAAUAAAUUUUACAAAAUUGAAAAUACAAAAAAAGAGAAAGAGAAAAUUCUACAAAGUUAAAAUAUCAAAAUUAAACCGAUCAGUUUUCGACUCUGUUGCUCUAAUAUCUUUUUUAAGGUUUCCAUCAAAGAAGAAGGUUUCUAUUUAAAAAAAAAAAAAAAAAAAAAAAAAAUGCAACUGCGUAAGACACACGCGUUUUUUGCACUUGCGUGAAAGAUAUUAUCGCGAAUAUGUAGUUCACCUUGAACCAUUCAUCAUUUUCCUCUUUCAUUUUUCCUCUUAAUUUCACUUAUUGUUUAGGAGAAAAACAUUGGGAGCUAAUCAAUCUUGAACAGUGAACACACUUUAUAUAUUUGUAUAUUUUCGAAUAUCAUAAAAAAUUAACGAAUCUGUCAAAGAAAAAGAUAGUUUUAUCGCGUGACUUUGUUGAUUAUAUAUAAGAGAAAAAAUAAAAGGAAAUACGGUAAAAGAACGAUAAGAUAGUAAUAUAGUUACCAAUGAUCACACAUCAAUCUUAAAUGUAUAAAUACGAGAAAUGAAAUAUCUUCCAAUAUUAUUAAAAACUAAAUGGAAAAAAUAACCGAGGAAAAUAAUAUUUUUAUCGUGUGAAUUUGUUGAUUAUACAUAAGAGAAAAAAUAAAAGGAAAUGUGGUAAAAGUACGAUAAGAUAGUAAUAUAGUUACCAGUGAUCAUACGUCAGUCUUAAAAGUAUAAAUACGAGAAAUGAAAUAUCUUCCAAUAUUAUCAAAAACUAAAUGGAAAAAAUAACCGAGGAAAAUAAUAUUUUCAUCGUGUGUCUUUGUUGAUUAUAUAGGAGUGAGAAAAUUGAAGGAAACACGAUGGAAAUGUAACAAUCUUGCAGAUGUAUCGCUACAGGUGUACUAUCUGGCAAUAAUAAAUGCCUGUUAUAUGCACAAAUACGCAAUAGAAACAACGAUAACAGAUGUUACCUUUUUAUUGCCUCGUGGAUUCUCAUGCAGCACAAGCCGUAUCGGUCACGUAAAAAAUUACAAGUAUACUAGUGCAUAUCAUUGAAGAAACAAUCCGUAUUCUACAGCGAGUUGCGCAUACAAACCUACCUACAUACAAAUUUGUAUUUGUUGAAGCAUCAAUACGUGACUGAAUUUUUCAAUGAAUUGCUUUAUACCUCGUACCACGAGAAUGUACGUAUUUGAAUUUAUUUCUAUAAAACACUUUACAACCACGUGAAUAUCGGAUUGAAGAUACGAGUAUCAUGAUUUUAUUACUAUAGUUUGAAACAAGGCAGAAACGUUAAAAUAUUGAAAUAUAUACACAAAUAUACAUGUAUAUAUAUAAGAUAUAUUUACUUGUAGUGAACAUUCUGCAGUUUUUAUGUGUAUUUCCGAAUUGAUUGAGGUAUUUGUCGAAGUGGGUCUCACUUCUAGGAAAACUCUACAUUUUCUCUAGUGUUUAGUUUUUUUUUUUUUUUUGGAAGUAGUUUACAAUCAAUUCUCAUUGAGAAUUAUAAGUAAAUUAUUCUGGCGUGGUAUUAUAACGUGAAUAAUAAAUGAUUAUCGUAUGUUUGGUUCUAGCUGAAUCUAAUGUUUAAACCUAGAGGGUAAUGUGUCCUUAGCCUGCGGAUCUGAUCCGUCGUGUCGAGUAAUUGAGUAACUAGUAGGUUUUGGUGGCUGCUAAUUCUUAUGUUAUAUCUAUUACUGAAUUUGGAUAUUUCUUCUUUAACUGUAGGUAUCUUAAGGUCGCGACGUAUUGUUUCAUUGGUAACAUACCAAGGUGCAUCUAUUAAGGAUCUUAGAGCUUUUGAUAGGAAUCGUUGAAGAAUUUCUAUGUUGCAAUUACUCGCUCUUCCCCAUAGUUGGAUCCCAUAGAUUCAAACAGGUUUUAAUAUGGGUGUUUAGUUUUUGGCACAACGAUUCUCUUUACAGCGGCUUCUUUCGUGUCUAUCAUAUGUUGGCAACUAAGUGAUUGCGGAUUUUGUCAUUAGGUGGUAUUGACAAAAUCCGCAACCACUUAGUUGCCAAUCCCAUACUUUCAAACAUAGUUAUGAAUAAAAUGUCUGGUCUACAGUGUGACAAGAAAGGAAAGCUAAAUUUGUGACACGCGAAGCGAAAUUAAAAACACAAGUGUUCGCUUUGAUAUUACACUGAACAAGUUAUCUGCAAUCAUUUCUAUUUUACGUCGAAAACGAAGAUCGAAGAGAUACUUUUACCAACGUUGUAAGCUCGGAACAACAAGCGGCAAUUUUUUGUCGCGUUCUGCUUCUAUUGUAAAUAACCGUGCAGUGCAAAUGUUCUCAGUCACGCACAUUUUGCUCGUGCGUACCAACAAAUGCGAAUCGACAGCGCCCUGUCGAAUUAUUAAUAUCGUAUCGUUAAAAUUAAAAUCGAUUUCGAAAAAUACGAUCUUUGUACGCCCACAUACUACCCUCGUUUAUAGACAAAGCGUAUUAUUUACAAAUUCGCCUUUGAAAAUCCCACUAGAAUUACCUUAAUUAAUUGGUAAUUAAUCGCUUUGAGAAUUGGAAAUCAGAUACAGUAGAAUGUACAGUUUACAUUACAUUAACAUUACAGUAAUAUUACAGUAACAUUAUGGUUGGCUUGAAAAUGAAUUUUAAAAGAAGAAUUUUUGUACAUGCGUGUAUUUGCAAAUUGAACUUUUUAUUCUGUUCAAUAUCGAAUGUCAAAGUACGUAAUUCUUUUCUUAACAAACUCAUUCGAAGAUCGUUUGCAUUUUAUAAGGAUUAAAUUAAUGGAAUAUCGUUCAUUUGUAGUUUUAUUUGACUUGCAGUAAGCAUCGGUUUACGGAGAAAAUGUGUUGACAAAUUCGACUUUGGAAUGUGCAACUAAUUACUAAUUACUAAACCACGGACAUUUAUACAUUUUUGAGAAAUGAAAAAUCCCACAAAUCUACAGACUGCAGAUAAUAUGCAAAAAUAUAUUUAAAUAUAUAUAAUAUUAAAAAUAGAACGCUUACUGUGAUAUUUAGUAGACGAAAUAAAUUUCUAUUCACGUUCAAUUCCAUUCAAAUUAUGUUUACAAGGAUAGAAAUUUGCAUGGAACAUCCGUAGUCUAUUAAUUACUUAGAGAAUAAUACGAUAAUCAAGUGGACCAGAUGCAUCGAUCAUCCGACAGUUUGCCUAAACAGGAAAGUUAUGACCUAUAGUACUACAUUUAUUUCGAAUUGGCACGAUUGUUGCUGAUCUGCGAAACAAAACGUGCAGAAACUUAGCAACUACCCUUGUUCUCCUGACACAAUCCAAAGACUUCGCUAACUACCCUUGGCAGACUUUCAGUUUAAACAUUGAUGCAUUUAGCGAAGAAAUUAAUCUUCCAACGAUUGCUAACUCUGCUUUCAGAACGAGACAUCCUGCUAAAGUUCAGGAAAGAAUGUCACUUUUCGCUGCUACUUUAUCACCAUAUUGUGUUAUUAACUUUAUCCAAUUAGUUGUAUUAUUUUUUUUUGCUAUCCGCAAUUGAUAUUGUAUGUUUGUGCAACGAAAAUCUAACAUAUUUUUAUAGCUAUCUGUGUAAUCAUCUUUUCACUAAAAUCUUCGUAAAAUCGUUACAUAUUAUCUGGUCGAAUUCUAGCAAUUCUGUAAACGUGUUUUCGUAAUUGUAUUUUUAUUAGGUUGUCCGGAAAGUUUCUUUCGUUUCAUAAGAUGAUAAUAGAUGAACAAAAAUUUCUAUUUUAUAUUAUUUUAUUGAAUUAGGUGUGAUCCAUUUCGUUCUAUUUCUAUUAUUAUGUUCGUGCAUAAUUCAAUAAACUAAUAUAAAACGAAGAACAUUGUGCGUCUAUUAUUUCCUUAUAAAACGAAAGAAACAUUUCGGACAACCUAAUAUUACAAUCUUCAUUGCAUUCUAGUGUAACAUGAUUCAAGAACUGUUUUGGUUACAUCCAAAAAUCGUUAGAUUUCGAAGACUCAAAGGUACAGAAUUUAUUCAUAUUUUUGCAUAUAUCUGAUGAGCUUUUUAAUUAUAUCACUAGGAAUAUUUUCAUGUUUCCAAACGAUUUUCCUAUUUACCACGUCACUUUAUACUCUUUUCGUCUUCUCUGUCGUCUAGGUCAUUUAAAAUUAUUUGAAACGUAUGACGUAUCCCAACAUCUCAAAAACCUGGUAAAAUCCAGCAAAAGCUUCCAGAGAAUUGAAACUUAUUGUUCUAGACUUUCAGAAAUGCACUAUUUUUUCAGCUUUAGAGAACCAACAAUUGUAAUGGAUGAAUGAACGUUGAUAUUUUCAUGAAAAGUGUUGUAGCAAUUUGAUAUAACACGAUGCAGAAGCCAAUUGUUAAACAGCCAAGUAAUGACAAAUCUAUAAUUUAUCUAAAAUAUAUUUACAAAAUAAAUGUAUAAUAGGUUUCCUCUGUGAUAAAUACAAAACUCAUGCGAUAAACACUAUCGACUUUUAAAGUUUAGCAUAAGAUGAAAAGAUCACAAUAAGAUUUACAAGUACAGUGAUUAUAAUAUCGACGCAUAUCGCAUUUCUAUUGAGUUUUAUGUUCCAUCUGCAUGGCAUCACAUUUUUGCAGCCUUGUGAGGAUAUUGCUAGAUAUCACACAAUUUAAUGUACUUGGGCCUAAUUGAUUAGUAUGUGAUGCUAUACACUGGCGUGGUGAUACUCUUUGCAGCCACUGUAUCUACAGAAUAUCGGGUUUUAAUACUUCCGUGCAAUUAUUUCCUCAACUAUUCGCUAUCGAGAAAAUGUUGCAAAUGAAGCACCGUCUGUUCCAAAGUGGAUUACGGAUGGCUGCCAAUAAAUUACUGGAACAAGUUUCUAGGGGUUGGAACUAUUCAGGGUCAGAACGAACCAAUAUAUUGAUUGGCAAAGUUGUCCCCUGGAAUACGCAAGAUAAAGAACAAUUUCUAGGCAGUUAGCGAAAAGAGGUUUUAAACGUUAACCCUUGGCACUCUGAAUUUUAUUUCAAUUUCGUUACCAGCAGCUGCCGAAGCUUUCAAGUGUUUUGUUUGAAAUUUACUUUAACUAAAAAAUAGGACAAUUUAAAUAAAUAAAGGAAGAAAGAAAUUCACUUAAACAUCAGUUUUAUUCACACUAUUGUUGUAUUUUGUAAUUUUUAAGCGUACGAUAUAUCUUGAAAUAAUUUCCAGGAUACAAUCCUGGUUUUCUUUCGCACGUUUUACAAAAAAGGUGGGACAGAAAGAAUGUCGAGUUGGAAUCGAGAAAGGAGCUCCUGAGAUAAAAACUGAUAAAAACCAACAUAGGAGUGCAAAGGGUUAACAAAUAACGUUGAACUAUUAUUGACUGGUCGAAGGGCCAAUGUAUUUUUUACAAAUUAGCGUAUUCAUUUUUGCAAAAAAUGUCAUUUUCAUGUUUAGCUCGAUAGAAAUAUAUUUAAAAUCCUAGAGAAAUUUCAAUAGGAUAUUUUCCUCGAAACAGGGUAGGUUCUACUGUGUCCAUUUUUAAAUUUGUCGUAAUAUAUUAAAUAUAUUAUAACGUAUUAUAAUCUUAUUAAUAACAUAUAUCGAUGAGAUAUUAAUAAAAAAUUGACAAAUUCGUUUAUAUAAUUUCACAUCAUAAUACAAGACAAAACUAAAGAUACAGCAAAAGAAUGCUUUUUUUCGAAACCUGGAAACAAUGGACAUUUCUCCUAAAAUUGUGUUUUCGCCUGUGAAGAAAUAUAGACUCAACGUUAAUUCUGUUACGUUUUCAUUCAACGUUUAGUGGACCUUUUUCUACUUUUAAUUGCUUCUACUAAUUCGUUAGGUAUUUUAUUUUUUUUUUUUUUCUAAGUAGCACGAUAGUUUCUAAGGUAACUUCUGAUCGCAAAUUUUUCUCGCUAGAAUUCCCCACAGGUUCUCUAUCGGAUCAGGAAUGGAUGUUGGCCAUCGUAAUAAUUCUACCCGGAAAUGUUGAAACUAGUUUUUCCUAGCAGCGGCUGUACGAGUAGCCGCUGAAGUCUCGUUGAAAAAUUGUCUUUUAUCUUCUAUUUCGGCUACGAAAGGCAAUAAUUCGCCAUGUAACAUCUCCUGAUAUCCCAUAGCGUCUAAUUUAUUUAUUUACAAAAAUAAUUUCACUUAACGUAUCCAGAUACGAUCGAUGAUUUCUCAAAAAUGUUGAAGAAAUAAUGCGAAAAAAAUAUGUUUGAGUCUACGAUUAUUCACAGUGUUGUAUUUAAACAUAUAGAUAUAUGUUUAAAUACAAUUAAUUAAUUAAUUAAUUAAUGUUUAUAGAUUUGUUUAAUAAUCCCAUCUUUGUAAACAUGGCUGAAAAACAGUGUACAAGAACGAUAUACAUUAUUUUGCUAAUAUUUCAGCAACAUAUAUAUGUCGAAGAUGAAAGGAAAGCCGAAGCCUUUCCUUGGAAAUUUUGGGAACAUCCUCUAGUACUCUAGCCUAGAUUUCAUCAUAGCUGUAAUUGUUCGAGAUUUGUGAUAGCGAGAUUGGGUUCGAGGUGACAAUUGGUCGCCGAACGUAGCCAUGGUCACGGGAUGGACGUUUUGUCUAACGAAGGUCUGGAGUGGCUGUAUGGGUUUUCCGAGAAAUAUGGUUGUGGCGGCAUGCGGCCUCGGGAGCGGGCCUAGCUACGUGUGAUGUUGCCUCGGAGGUGCCGAUACAAUGGGACAUACAUUGUAUUAAUAAUCAAACUUCAGGCAGAAACUGCCUAGCAACGGCGUUUGGAACUUUCUCGAUGCUUCCAACGAGUGUGUAUCAAACUCCAGGCAGAAACUGCCUAGCAACGGCGUUUGGAACCUUCUCGAUGCUCCAAACGAGUGUAGAAAACAAAUGCAAUCGUACAGCGAGAAAAAUCUCCACGAGGUUGGCAUUCGUGCGAUCGCCCUGGAGAGUGACACAUCGAGCAUUUUCAACAAUCGUAUUUCUGUGCCUAAGAUUAGUUUACGCUUAGUAAAGAGUUAUCCCGUUGACCGUGGAUUUGUUUGAACCCAAAAACAUUGUUAAUAGCGUUCAUUAAACUUAUUAUUCGUAAAUCAUACUAUUCAUUAAACUUACUAUUCGUUAAACUUGUUAUUCAUUAGACUUAUUAUUUGUUAAACCUAUUAUUCGUACAAUUUAUUAUUCACUAACUUUAUUAUUCGUCAAACUUACUAUUCAUUAGACUUAUUAUUUGUUAAGCUUUGCGAUAGUCUUGUAUAUACGUGUAAAUAUAAUCUCGGCUUUGUGAAAGGAUGGCUAAUUCACGUGAAGAGUUGUUACGCGAAAAUUCCAAUCAUAACCCGACAUAUAUAUCAAUGCAGCGUUUUGCUUAAAUUUGUCGAGCCGUAUAUUCCACAGAAAUAUCUCAAAUGCAAAGAAAUAUGUUACGCGUGUGCAACGUGUGCAUGUUAUCAGAGAUUAAUAGCUACAUACAUCAGUGAUUUCUGUGAGAAAGUUCAUAGACCUGCUAUCACGCGUAAGUCUUGAUUGAACGAUUUCGAGGAAGAAACAUUCGACCUUCGAUCCUAAUAAAUCACAGUUAAACGUUUACGGUGCGGAUUCUCGUCGAGAGGAUACGAUCACGCAGUGAGAAACCGAAUCCGGAGCUGUACAAUUUAGAUAAAUUGUCUGGGUGGGCGCACAGGGGAGAACACGUGCGACCUCUAACACUGGCAUUGCAAUCUGCCCGCUGUAACUCAUGCUUUGUACAAGCACCUACUUCACCAACCUGUGAAUAUAGAAUUCCUUUUCUUUUCUUUUUCUUCUUUUUUCUUUUCUUUUUUUAACCGUUCGCGUUCUAUCAUGAGAAAUCCAUCGAGACCGCGAAAUUCUAUUUAUCGAAAACGUGACCAGCUUGCAACACAGCGAACGGAAGAAUAGAAGAACUAGCUUACUUUGGUUUUAUUACAUAAUUCUCCGUUAUCCGAUAGUUUUACGUAACAGUUUCAACGAUUUGUUUAAUGUUUCUCCUAAUCGCUAGAUUUUUUUACAUUUUUUAUUGUACGUGUAUAUACUGCAUUGGGAAAUUAAGUUUGAUUGACAUAAUUGAUUUAAAUAAUUUGAUAAUUUCAAUGUGUCAUAUUUCUCUAUUGAUUAAUUCAACAUUGCUAAUAAGAAUAAUUUCUCAUAUUUCUGUAUUAAUUAACCAUUUAAUGUCAACCGCAAUGUCUCAUAUUUCUCUAGUAAUUCAUUCAAUAACCUUGAUGAUAACAAUAAUUACUCGUAUCUCUGUUACAGUUAACUAUUCAAUGUUAGUAACAAUAUCUCAUAUUUCUCUAUUUAUUAAUUCAAUAACUUUGAUGCGAACAACGACAAUUCCUUAUAUUUCUGUAUCAAUUAACUCAAUACCUUCAACAGUAAAAAUAUUUCAUCUUCCUCUAUCGAUGAUGUAUCAUAUUCGAGGAAUGAAAAUAUAU